AAACCUGGUGCUGUGGUCAGGGUGAUCAAGAAUGCUCUGACCCCGGGUGGAGGCUCACCAUUGCACCUCAGUGAGUUGAAACUCACAACGGACCCUAAUCUGGUACGCUCGGGCGUGUAGUUUUUGUCAGUGCCCAGGCC
rnacentral:snRNA from 15 species